rnacentral:rRNA from 1 species
CGGGGGUAGGAGGUAACGCGUGGAUAACCUGCCUCACACUGGGGGAUAACAGUUAGAAAUGACUGCUAAUACCGCAUGAGCACACAGUACCGCAUGGUACGGUGUGAAAAACUCCGGUGGUGUGAGAUGGAUCCGCGUCUGAUUAGCCAGUUGGCGGGGUAACGGCCCACCAAAGCGACGAUCAGUAGCCGACCUGAGAGGGUGACCGGCCACAUUGGGACUGAGACACGGCCCAA